ACACAGCACUGUGCAAACACGAAAGUGGACGUAUACGGUGUGACGCCUGCCCGGUGCCGGAAGGUUAAAUGAUGGGGUUAUCUUCGGAGAAGCUCUUGAUUGAAGCCCCGGUAAACGGCGGCCGUAACAAUAACGGUCCUAAGGUAGCGAAAUUCCUUGUCGGGUAAGUUCCGACCUGCACGAAUGGUGUAACGACUUGGGCACUGUCUCGGCCAUGAGCUCGGUGAAAUUGUGGUAUCGGUGAUGACGCCGAUUACCCGCAGCGGGACGAAAAGACCCCGUGAACCUUUACUACAACUUUACAUUGGCUUUAGCUGUCGCAUGUGUAGGAUAGGCGGGAGACUUUGAAGCGGCGUCGCCAGGCGUUGUGGAGUCACCCUUGAAAUACCGCCCUUGCCACAGGUGAAGUCUAACCCUUCCGGGGGAACAGUGUAUGGUGGGUAGUUUGACUGGGGCGGUCGCCUCCUAAAGAGUAACGGAGGCUCCCAAAGGUACCCUCAGCACGGAUGGCAAUCGUGCGUAGAGUGUAAAAGCAUAAGGGUGCUUGACUGCGAGACAUACAGGUCGAGCAGGCACGAAAGUGGGGUUUAGUGAUCCGGUGGCACCGCAUGGAAGGGCCAUCGCUCAAAGGAUAAAAGGUACUCCGGGGAUAACAGGCUGAUACCGCCCAAGAGUUCACAUCGACGGCGGUGUUUGGCACCUCGAUGUCGGCUCAUCACAUCCUGGGGCUGAAGCCGGUCCCAAGGGUAUGGCUGUUCGCCAUUUAAAGUGGUACGCGAGCUGGGUUUAGAACGUCGUGAGACAGUUCGGUCCCUAUCUUCCGUGGGUGUAGGAUACUUGAGAGGAGUUGCCCCUAGUACGAGAGGACCGGGGUGAACGAUCCACUGGUGGACCAGUUGUCGUGCCAACGGCAGUGCUGGGUAGCUAUGAUCGGACAGGAUAACCGCUGAAGGCAUCUAAGCGGGAAGCCCCCCUCAAAACAAGGUAUCCCUGAGAGCCGAGGUAGACCACCUCGUCGAUAGGCCAGAGAUGUAAGCGCUGUAAGGCGUUCAGUUGACUGGUACUAAUUGCUCGAUAGGCUUGAU
rnacentral:rRNA from 1 species